rnacentral:lncRNA from 1 species
GUCCUGCCAGCAAAGAACCUGUAGAGAGGGAGACAGUGAAUAUACACUCUAAUCUUACUCUUGUCCUCCCUCUGAUUUCUUGACAGUGCCCGCUAUUGGCUGAAAACGGAAGGCUAAGGCACCUGUUGAUAAAGUCCACGCCGUUCUCCCUCUCAGGGCACAGAAAAGAGAAGCACGGAGAGUGGAUCUUCAGGGGAAAAUGGAAGGUCUUUAUCACAGCAAGUCUGAAGGACCCAUGAGGCCAGAGUGCCCGGAGCCUAGUAGGCAAACGAGUGAACAGCAGGAGAUGAGAGCAGUGAGGGCAAAAGAGACUUUGCUGAUGUGAUCAAGUAAUGGACUUUGAGAUGAGGAAGACUAUUCUGGAUUAUCCAGAUGAUCAUCUCAGUUGAAUGAAGAAACAACCAAAAUGGUGAAUUUGAAGAUUUCAAAUGAGAAGCAGUUUCCUUCCCUCAUAUUGAAGUGUAGGUACGGGUCUAGAGUGGCCUGGACCCUUCCCCACUAUACCUGAAUGUCCUGAGAAGGCGAUGUUUGUUCCCUCAUUGUAGAUGAAGAAACAGAGAUAUUAAAUAUAUUUAUAAGAUACUCCAAAUAACAGAAUGGAUCCAGCACUGAAACCCACUUUCCACCCUGCCCCCCCGCACAUUGCCUCAAAGGCUUUCAUAUAUAUGAAAUAUAUAUGCUUAAGAAAUCCAAGUAAAUUUGGAAGAGGGAUGAUUACGCACA